AAGUAGGGCAUUGACUCUCACAGACUGACCCAUGUGUGGGGCUCUGACCCAUAAGUGGGGCUCUGACCCAUAAGUGGGGCAUUCACCCACAGGGACUGACCCACACGUGGGGCUCUGCCCCAUAAGUGGGGCUGUGACCCACAAGUGGGGCUGUGACCCAUAAGUGGGGCUCUGAGCCACAGCGCUGCCCACCAUGGACCAACCCACGCAUGGGGCUGUGACCCAUAAGUGGGCCUGUGACCCACGUGUGGGGCUGUGACCCAUAAGUGGGGCUGUGACCCAUAAGUAGGGCAUUCACCCACUGAGACUGAUCCACGUGUGGGGUUCUGCCCCAUAAGUGGGGCUGUGACCCACAAGUGGAGCUGUGACCCACACAUGGGGCUGUGACCCAUAAGUGGGCCUGUGACCCACAAGUGGGGCUCUGACCCAUAAGUGGGGCUCUGACCCAUAAGUAGGGCAUUCACCCACAGAGACUGACCCAGGUGUGGGGCUCUGACCCACAAGUGCGGCUGUGACCCACAGCACUACCCCCCCCCUUCCAUGGGCUGACCCACAAGUGGGGCUCUGACCCAUAAGUGAGGCAUUUUCCCAUAAGUACGUGAAGCUCUGACCCAUAAGUGGGGCUCUGCCCCAUAAGUGGGGCAUUGACCCACACAGACUGACCCAGGUGUGGGGCUCUGCCCCAUAAGUGGGGCUCUGCCCCAUAAGUACAUGAAUCUCUGCCCCAUAAGUUGGGCUCUGCCCCAUAAGUACAUGAAUCUCUGCCCCACAAGUUGGGCUCUGCCCCUUAAGUACAUGAAUCUCUGCCCCAUAAGUGGUGCAUUGCCCCAUAAGUAUGUGAAGCUGUGACCUACAAGUGGGCCUGUGACCCACAAGUGGGGCUCUGCCCCAUAAGUGGAGCACUGACCCACAGUGCUGCCCCAUAGCAACACUCCAC
rnacentral:lncRNA from 1 species